UGUAAUUGCAACAAUGUUCUCAGCAAACAGUAAUGUUACUGUUUAAAUAAUGCUAUUACAGUCAUGUUUUAAUUACACAGUAAUAAUGUUACUAUAGCUAAGCUGCAAUUACACAAUAAUAAUAUUGUUCAUUAUUCCCUGUAAUUAUACAAUAAUAAUACACUUAUAGUUACACUGUAAAUAUGCGGUAAUAAUUAAACAGUAAUGUUACUACUGCUGCUCAGCAUUAUGGCAAUCCCAAACUAACAUUUAGAGAUAUCUCAAAAUGAAUUUUAAGAUAUCUGGAAAUGCAUUUAAGAAAUCUUAAAAUGAAUUUACAGCUUCUGAAAACAUGUUUCUUUGAAGAUAUCUUGUGCAUUUUAUGAAAUCUUCAAAACAAGACACUGUUCAUUGUGUGGUGUCUGAAAUGCAAUUCAAGAUAUCUUGAAAUAACUUCAAGAUAUCAUUUUGUGAUAUCUCAAAUACUUUUCAAAAUUUCUUCAGCUUGUUCUACCAUGGGUCUUCCUGUCUGUUUUUAAAUCAUUUUGAAAUGCUUCGCAAUGAACAGGAAGUUAUUUUGAGAUACCUUCACUGUGGAUGUCUGGAAAUGGACAUAAGAUAUUUGGAUCUCUUAAAAUGUAUUACAGAUAUCUUCAGAUCAACUUGUGUUUCAGAUAACUAAUGUGCAUUGUUAGAUAUCUCAAAUUCAUUUCAUGAUAUCUUAAAUUGGGUCUCUUUUCUAUUUCAGAUAUCCUAAAAUGUAAAUUAAGAUAUCUCAAAUAUAUUCUAUUUCUUAAUAGUUAUUGACUUAUUUUAAGAUAUAUGAAUAUCAUUUUCUUCAGUUCUAGAUAUCUCAGAUUCAUUUACAGAUAUCUUAAAAUAUCUUGUUCAUCUUCAGGUAUCUGAAAUUUAUUUCAAGAUAUCUCAAAAUAAGCACUAAAUUAUGCAGUUCAAGAUAUCAUGAAAUAGACAAAAUGUCAAAUUGACAGAAUAAGAAAUUUUGCAGGAAAUGAUUUUAAGAUACAGUAUCUCAAAUAGAAUUUUGAAUAUCUUCAAAAUUCAAGCAAGGUUAAUUGGAUAUAUUUGAAAAUAUAUUUGAAAUGUGGUAUCUUGAAAUAAAUACUGUAGGUAGGUAUUUUGAAAAUGUUUUGCAGAUAUCUUAAAAUGUAGACAAAGUUACAGAUAUCUGGAAAUGAGUUUCAAUGACCUUAAAAGGUGAACCGCAUUUGAAGAUUUCUGCAGUUCAUUCGGAGGUAUCUCUAAAGGUUAGUCUGGCUUGUAGGUACACAAUUAUAGUGCUACGAUGUAAGUACAUGAUGAUAAUAGGACUCCUUUUACACUGUAAGGGCACUGUGAUGACAUUAAUAAAGUUACACUCAAGGUAGAUGCAAACAGUUUUAUUAGAGUUACUUUGGAAAUACACAGUAAUAAUAUUACAGUUACAUUUUACUUAAAUUAGUAAUAAUACUAUAAUUAUACAAUAAGUACAAAAUAGUAGUUGUUAUUGUUACACUGUAAGUACAAAGUAAUAACACUAUUACAGUUACAUUCUAAAUACACGUAAUACCUUCAUAAUUACCAUUAAUAUUAUUAUCAUUAUAAUAAUGUUAUUCUAGUUACACUGUAAGUACACUUUAAUAAUGCCUACUUAGAAUGACAUGUACUUAGGAAACUAAUUACUGAGUAAGGGACGUGUUGCCAAAUUUUGUAACAAUGUCUUUUAACACAUUUUUGCUUAGCCAUACACUCAUCAUGUUGGUUUUUUUUGUGUGUGUUUUUUAAAGUGAAAAUUUAAAAAAAAUAAGAAAAAGAUCCUUGCACAUUCUAUGCAAAUUAUAUUGAAGAGAAUUCAAAGCAUUGCAAUAAUGCUCUGGAAUAUGUUGGUAACUAUUUUAACUUGAUUAUACUUUCUGUAUAAAAAGUUUGUAUUUAUGAAUUGAGUUGCAAUCUUGUAAAUGGUAUUAAUAAAUAAAAUGAUUCUUAAAAAUCAUUCUGUUUUAA